rnacentral:lncRNA from 1 species
GCCAUCUCAAAUGUUGUAGAUGUAGUUCAUAUGAGCAUGAAUAUUGGAGCUAAAAUUUGGUGCCAUUUUUUUGGAAAAUUCGGCCAAAUCCAAAGGGUGGAUUUUUGGGUUCAUGUUUGACUUGUUAAAAGUGUUUUCAAGUAACUUUUGGAACCCUUAUGUACCCUAGUUUGGUUAUAUGUUAUUUCCCUUAAGUUUGAGUGGUUUUGGGAUGUCUUUGGGUGAAAAAUGUUCAUGGAGCUUUUAUGGAUUUUUCAUGAAUGUUCUUCAUUGUUCUUGAUGUUUUAGCCAAGAACAAAAAGGUUUGAUGUUUUGAUUCAAAGUUUUGAUUUAUUUCAUAAAGUCUUUGUUUUGUGUUGGUAGGUGUGACUUAUCUAUCAACAAAACAUUUAAUGAAAUUUUUGAAAGGUGAUAGAAAUGGUGAUGGGUGUGUAAGAAGUACUUCUCUUACACACACACACCACUUGCAUGGCUUUAUUCACACCAACCUAUUUCCACUUGCAUGGCUUUAUGACUUAGUUGAAAAAUUUUCAAAAUUUUUGUGGUUUCACUCUCCAAAACCGGCCACCCUACAAGUGGGGUGUUUUUGGGGCUUUUAUGCAAUUACAUAAAGUUUUGAUACUUUUGUGUAUUUGUAGUUUGACCCAAAAGUUUACGUAUUUACGUAAAGGCCCAAAAUCAUUAAAGGACAAAUUGUUUUGUUCCUUUAAUGAAGUUUUUGAAUUUGAUGAAAUUUUUGGGUUCUAGUUGUAAUUACAUAAAGUAAUGGACUUUUUUGUUUUUACAAAAUGAGCUCAAAAGUUUAAGUUUUGCAACAUAGCCCAAAAAGUUGGAGUUAUUGCAUUUUGGCCCAAAUUAGGUUGAGAACAAAAUGGUUUUGUCUCUUUAAAUGAGAAUUGGAUUUUCAUUUCAUUUAGCUCCAUUUAAAUCAAUUCUAUGGAUACAAAAACCAAAUGACAAUGUUGCAUUCAAAGUUUAAUUAGUUAAAGCGUUAAUUAAUUAAAGGGUGAUUAUGAACCUAAGUCUACGAUAAUUGAGCUAUGUGAAAUGCCAUUUCAAAUUUGUUUGAACCAUGGGAAUGUGUAGAUUAGAUUUUGGUUGUAAUUUGAUUUGAUCAAAUGUUGUAAAAGAGCAUAAGCUCUUCUUUACUUUAAAGUAAUUUGUAUUAAUCAAAUGUUGUAAAGAGCAUAAGCUCAUCUUUACUUUGAAGUACUCAUUUCUUGUUUUAUUUGAUAUGCAUGUAAUUGGAGUAGUUGGGUCCAACGCCCAAUAGGAAAAACACGCCUUAAUAUGAUUAAACGCGUAACUAAAAUCAAUCACCAUCCCUAGACCGAGAUUCAACACUAGGCUAGUGUUGGAUCUAAUCAAAGGUUCAUAGUCAUCCUAAGGCCCUAAGGCAACUAUAUAGUCCAUCAAUGAAUGCAAACCUUAUGUUAGCAGUACCAUAUACUCUUGCUUUAAAAACCGUUUUACAAGCAUAGUGGGAGUAUCAUGUACAACUAAAUCCAUCACAUGGACCAAUAGUUGUAAUAGGACCAAAUUGUUUUAAUAAGAUUAAAAUGCAUGCUUAUAUGUGAUGAGACCUAAAACCCUCAACCAAACCAUUAUUAAGCUGAAAAGCGUGAGAGUGCUUUGAACACUCUUUCGUGGCCUUCCACCGUGGUAGGUUUCGAUCGUUUGUGACUCGUACACCGACUUCACCCUAUCAUGGGGUAGUACAAAGUGCGUGCUUACACUCAGGAUGAAUCCUAUACGCAUACAUGAUGUUGUGAAGGUAGGCAACCAGAAUGAUCAACAUCAUAUCAUUGUGAGGUUGUUCUUGAACCCCUACCCGAACUUGCAUGGUGGGAAUGACUUAACUAAGUGCAAUGGAGCCAACAUCAUAUCAUUGUGAGGCUUCAUUCUCUAGAGGCCAAAUAAGAUGGGUACUUGCAAGAGAUGCAAAUGAGUAAGUGUACUCUCUCAUUAUUAUUGAUGCUAGCCAACAUCAUAUCAUUGUGAGGUGGGCUUGGUAAUAGUGAGUCUCCCAUACCCUACUAAGAGUUUCCUCCAAAAUUCUCGAAUUCCAAUGAGGGAUAUGGAAUUUGCCAAAAAUAGUGGGUGGUGCUAUUUGAUUUAAAGACCCAAAUUAAAUGGCUUAAAAUCAAUCAAUUUAUAUUCGUUAUGUAUUUGUUUACCAAUAUAUUUGCAAACGCUAUCCAAAACUUGACUAAGAAAAGCCGAAUGCUUUAGUUUCCGGACUUGAUACCACAAUCCCAAAGAUUGUCUUAAAUGGAUUGUAUAUGUACCUAAGUAGUCUAAUCCUCACAAUC